UCUUCCGACCGCUUUCCCCAGCGGGCUGAGUUCUGUAUCCUAAAUUUCUAGGGAGGCAAAGCCACGAAGGAGGUUGGGUGUCCUGCAGGAGGCAUUUAUUGCUGGCUACAUAAGAUCCUGCGGGCUGCGUGCCGUAGGUUCUCCUGCUGGGAGAAACGAAUAUGAGCUUAAAUUGUUUUGAAAUUUUCUCCCUGUAGAAUUUAUUGCUCUAAUAUCUAAGAGGCUGAGGGUGCUUUUUGGUUCUGCUGCUCGUGCUGGACAAUGUAGAUGAGGGGUAAGGAAGAUGCAGUUGUGACUAAGUUGGAUUGAAUGUCCCUUCUGGGAUGUAUCGUAGCAAUUGUUUAGUGCGUCCUCCUGCAAAGUCUCUGAGAUGUAGGAGUCUGCCUAGCAAUGGCGAGCUCAAAAUAUAGGGAAAUUCCAGUGUUUUGGAUGGUGCCAGUGUGGAUUUUUUUUUUUUUUUUUAGCUGAAAGCACAGCUGCUUUGGAGAAAAUACCUGCAGGGAGAAAGUGGUGUCAAGGCUUUCUGAGCAGAGGGAGGGCGGGCUUGAUUCCCUCACCUGCUCCCUGGGUUUGUGCUCCCCGAGGAGCUCCUGGGAAGGGUACCCAGUGCCUACCUGCAAUUCUGGAGCUGGGCUUGGUCCCCCCAGGACGUGCCUUUGAACAAACAGCAAAGAGAGGCAGUCCUAAAAGCAAUCUAGUUGAAAAGAGGCAUUACUCAGUGGGCUUUCGGUUUGUGGGGUGUGUUUGGGGAAGGGGGAGUUGUUUUUCUGCAUGUUUACCAGGGCCUCCGGUUCCUGCAGCAGAGACUGGCACGACAACAGAGUGGAGCUGAUUCUCUCGGGGCUGGCACUGCGUAAUCAAAUGCAAGGCUUUGAGAUUUUGUCUUAUCCUGUGAAGAUGUGAGUUUUCAGCAGGCACGAGGAAGGCGACGUUCCUCCCGCAGCGUCUUUGGAGGACGGCUCGUUGCCACGGUGAAUACCAAGAACAUUGUGGAGGAUGCUGCUGCACGGCACUCCACUGCACGAUGAGGCAUCCUUCAUUUUUCGAGAUGAUGCGUCAAGAACUACAAGCCACAGAUGAGAAAAGUCCUCGUAUUUUACUUUCAGACCUAUUUGCUUAAGUUUAUUUUUAAAAACUAGAGAAUACUUGAAUUUCCUAUGACCCAAAAUCAUUAGUGGAGUUGAAUCUUCCCCAGAACUCAGUUUUGCUAUCCAGCAGAGCACCCUGGAUGAGGUAUCGCAUGCUCAUGGUUUAGACGGUGUAUUUUUUCCUGUACUGUCAGUCUGUAUUUUUUAUAAGGGACUGGGGCGUUGGCUCAUUUUUGAGAUGUUCAAGUGUUCUCUACUUUAUAGACUAUAUAUAAUCAGUAAUGGAUGUGGGACUGGAUUGAGUCCAUCCAGCAAUGUAAUACUUUACUGGUAUGUUUGAAA